GUUUUAUUUGAGUUGCGGCAUUAUCGUUGUGUUUGCAGUCUCCAGAAUUAUUUACAUUUUCAUUUACAGUUGCAUUGACCUUUACAUUUACGCCCUUUGCUACAGUUUCGUUGUCGAAGGGGCACAGCUGUCGGUUUGUAGAUCCCUGCUACAGUCAUCUCAAUUGGGGGGUUAUAUUAUUAGUACGCUCCAUGUACAGUUGCCAGGUUUCCCAGGCUUGUGACCAAACUUUUUUGGAGUGGUUUGAGCGUCUAGCUGCCAGCUCGUAGAGCUUAGUUGUUUCUAUCGUUUGUAUGCAUUCUGAUAUUUUGGGUGGGAUAUUAGAUUUCCAAUGUCUGCUAAUGACCGUGAGCGCGGCUAUAAGUAUGUGAUAGAUUAAGUAUUUUUGCCUGCUC